rnacentral:tRNA from 1 species
GGAAGGGCGAGCCGAUUGGCGAAGGCACCCGCUUGGAAAGCGGACGAGGCGCAAGCCCUUGCAGGUUCAAAUCCUGUCCCUUCCGCUA